GACGAGGGGUCCUAGCGUUGUUCGGAAUCAUUGGGCGUAAAGCGUGUGUAGGCUGCCAUUUAAGUCAGGUGUGAAAUCCCCGGGCUCAACCCGGGACGUGCAUUUGAUACUGAGUGGCUUGAGUAUGGGAGAGGAUAGUGGAAUUCCUGGUGUAGUGGUGAAAUACGUAGAUAUCAGGAGGAACACCGGUGGCGAAGGCGGCUAUCUGGCCCUAUACUGACGCUGAGACACGAAAGCGUGGGGAGCAAAC
rnacentral:rRNA from 1 species